rnacentral:lncRNA from 1 species
AUGGCAGUCGAUGAGAGGGUGCAGAUAAGCAAGAGUCAGGACAGAAGAACAUUUAAAUAUUUACUUCUGUUGUUCCACAGUUCACUCUUUGGCAUUGGUAUCAAGGUACCCCUUGACAUGAAAGUGAAAGAACAAGCAUAUCACAUCUUUCCAGAGUGUCACUUUUACUCAAAAGCUGGAAACCUUAAAUUCUGUUUACAGGAAGUCAGAGUUUCCCCAACAGCUACCAGUAGACAAAAUCUGAAGUACCAUGGUAAUGGAGAUGCAACAAUAAUUGUAUUUUUAUUUAAGAAAUACUCCUCUUACUAUUUGUAUGCAAAAGCUGUAGAUCCAAGCAUGUUUAAUUUAAGGGGUCUUUCUUAGAGCUUUGUCUGUAAAUGGCUCCGACAUUCUGUGACUUUCACAGAAAAUAACCCAAACUGGAAUGCCUUCAUGCCCUGGUUCACCGUUAUGGUCUUGCUUUUCUUUUCUUUUUUCUUUUUCUCUUUCUCUCUUUGUUUCUCUCCCUUUUUCUCUCUCUUUCAGAUAAGAGCAGGGAUGCAGUAUGAGACAGAGUUUUUACAUGCAAAGGAAAAGAUUAAUUUUGUGAAAGAAGAACUCAAGGGCUUUUGAGCCUCCAAUCAAUCACUAUUGUCUUCUGCUGAUGUCUGAGCCUGAAAAAGAAAUGGGAUAAUGUAUAGGACACUAUGUGAAACACAUUUUCUGUGUCUCUGUCAGGACAGUGAACUACAAAAUAAAUGAUAUUGGGGCAAGUACA